AUUGAACGCUGGCGGCAUGCUUUACACAUGCAAGUCGAGCGGCAGCGCGGGGGGCAACCUUGGCGGCGAGCGGCGAACGGGUGAGUAAUGCAUCGGAACGUAUCCUGUAGUGGGGAAUAACUCACCGAAAGGUGAGCUAAUACCGCGUAAGCUCUGAGGAGGAAAGCGGGGGACCGAAAGGCCUCGCGCUGCAGGAGCGGCCGAUGUCCGAUUAGCUAGUUGGUGAGGUAAAGGCUCACCAAGGCGACGAUCGGUAGCUGGUCUGAGAGGAUGAUCAGCCACACUGGGACUGAGACACGGCCCAGACUCCUACGGGAGGCAGCAGUGGGGAAUUUUGGACAAUGGGGGAAACCCUGAUCCAGCCAUGCCGCGUGAGUGAAGAAGGCCUUC
rnacentral:rRNA from 1 species